rnacentral:rRNA from 1 species
CUAGUCAGAUUUUCCCAGAUUGCUAUUUACUGCCAAUAGGCGGUGAAUAAACAGAAUUUGCUUGGCGACCAUAGCAUUAUGGACCCACCUGAUCCCAUGCCGAACUCAGUAGUGAAACGUAAUAGCGCCGAUGGUAGUGUGGGGUCUCCCCAUGUGAGAGUAGGACAUCGCCAGGC